rnacentral:pre_miRNA from 1 species
GAUAACACAAGAAUGGUAAAUCGUAUAGCAAUAAUUUUGACUUAUGAACUAUUAUUAUACGAUUUACCAUUUUUGAGUUAUC